rnacentral:rRNA from 1 species
AUGGAAAAGGAUGACAAGGUUGGGAAUGAUGUAUGCACAAAAGUAAUCCAGAAGGGUGUUCGACAACAACGCUACAGGCUAAAGAAGAAAUACUUCAAUGGUUAUACUGAUCAGGAAGCAUUAUCAAAUAAGCCACUAAACAUUACUCAUGAGAAUUGGACCAGCCUUGUCAAUAAAUGGUCUGAUGGAACAAACAAGAAAAUAUGUCAAAUGAAUAAGGAAAACCAAGAAGUUGUCAAGCAUCACCAAAAGACUGGAUGUAUGUCUUAUGUUGCUUAUUUCAGUAAACUUAAAAAAGAGAAGUACAAUAAUCAGGACCCAAGUCCAAUUGAGUUUUUCAAAGACACCCAUACAAACAGCAAGACUGGUAGCAUGAGCGAGUCGGCACUUCUAGCUCAUAAUGCGAUUGAAGAGAAAAGGGAAACACAAUCAGAACGUGGGCAGCCAGUAUCCGAUACAGCAAUUGUGCUUGAAGUUCUAAAGGAAGAAAGCACCCAUAGCACCUUCCUUUCCAGCAUGGGGUAUGCAUCUAGAUCCGGGAGGUAUGGGAGCUCUACUUCAUCAGCCCAAAUCCGAGUUCUAGAUGAAAGAAUUGAACAAAAGGAUAGAGAGGCAAGAGAUGCGAAUGACAGGCAUCGGGAGGAGUUAGCCGCAAGACUUGAAGCACAAGAGAGAAUUCGAAAGAAAAUAAGAAGAUUCAAUCGACUCUCCUAUCCCACGACUGCGGCGAUCAGGCCGGCAGAUUGGGGGUGGCCACCCGCCCGCCGAGCUCGGAUCCACUACACAACCAUCCUCACGAGCACUCCGCUCUAUCUGCCCCCUCCUCUGAUUGCAGCGACCGGCGACCGCAGAUUGGAGGAGGCCGCCCGACCGGCCGAACUCGGAUCCACUACAUCAACCAGCUAUAGCGGAUUGGAGGAGGCCGCCCCACCCGGCUCUCUUUCGCCACCGAUUACACCAAGCAGCGACGGCUGA